UGGCAGUUUUUCAAAGAGACAUUAUUAAGGAUAUAAAAGCAAACUAUCUCACUGUGUAGGAAAGAUAGGACGUAUGGCAAGAGACUAUUGUGGCUUAUUCAGGAGAUCUUCAAUCAACUGAAACUCAAAAAAGACCUAUAAAAAGAGGAAAUG